rnacentral:rRNA from 1 species
CCUAGUAACGGCGAGUGAAGAGGGAAGAGCCCAAGAUUGAAAGCUGGCGCCUUCGGCGUCCGCAUUGUAAUCUCAAGAAGCGUUUUCCGCUUCGGACCAAGCCUAAGUCCCUUGGAAAAGGGCAUCGUAGAGGGUGAAAAUCCCGUACAUGGCUUGGAGCGCCCGAAGCUUUGUGAUACGUUUGCAAAGAGUCGAGUUGUUUGGGAAUGCAGCUCAAAAUGGGUGGUAAAUGCCAUCUAAGGCUAAAUAUUGGGGAGAGACCGAUAGCGAACAAGUGCCGUGAGGGAAAGAUGAAAAGAACUUUGAAGAGAGAGUUAAACAGUACGUGAAAUUGCCAAAAGGGAAGGGUAGGAGGUCCAGAGAUGCGUCUGGGAUCACCUUGCUUUUGCUUGGUGUUUUCCCAUUUGCAGGCCACUUCGGUUUGGGCACUGAGAGGUAGAGAUUGACCUCUCGAUUUUAGCCCUCGUACACGAACAGAACGCUUCUAAGGCUCGCUCGGG